UACGUAGGGGGCUAGCGUUGUCCGGAAUCAUUGGGCGUAAAGCGCGUGUAGGCGGUCCGGUAAGUCCGCUGUGAAAGUCGGGGGCUCAACCCUCGAAUGCCGGUGGAUACUGUCGGGCUAGAGUGCGGAAGAGGCGAGUGGAAUUCCUGGUGUAGCGGUGAAAUGCGCAGAUAUCAGGAGGAACACCGGUGGCGAAGGCGGUCUGCUGGGCCGUUGCUGACGCUGAAUCGCGACAGCGUGGGGAGCAAACAGG
rnacentral:rRNA from 1 species